rnacentral:miRNA from 1 species
UGGGACUUCCUGGGUCAUUGCA